rfam:Nasonia vitripennis chromosome 4, whole genome shotgun sequence.
GUAGACGUUAGCUUAGUGGUUAGAGCACAGGCCUCUGGCUCUCGGGUCCGCGAGUUCGAGUCCCGUCGUCUACU